rnacentral:rRNA from 1 species
UACGAAGGGGGCGAGCGUUAUUCGGAAUUAUUGGGCGUAAAGGGCGCGUAGGUGGCCUGCUAAGUCGGUUGUUAAAUCUCAUGGCUUAACUGUGAGACUGCAGCCGAAACUGGUAGGCUAGAGGAUGGGAGAGAGAAGUGGAAUUCUCGGAGUAGCGGUAAAAUGCGUGGAUCUCGAGAGGAACACCGUUGGCGAAGGCAGCUUCUUGGUCCAUUACUGACACUAAAGCGCGAAGGCGUGGGGAGCAAACAGG